rnacentral:lncRNA from 1 species
CCUUCCAGAGCAUCACUCGUGCCGCGUCCUGCCGUGUUCCCUCGUCGGUGUGGUCUUGCUGGCAGGCGAGACCUUGGUCAUCGCCCUGAACUACAACGGGAUCCCAACGUUUGCUUUUGAUUGUGGCCCACGAAUAGGAAGGAUAUCCAGUGUGCUGCUCCACGUUUGCCAUCCCCCCAACGUCCUCCCACAGGAGAUGGCCUUGAGCACAGCGUCCUCCCGGCUGACGGGACUUCGUUUGGAGCCCUGCUACUUCUGAGUCUUGACCUCUGCUUUCGGUUGCGGCCCACGAGUAGGAUAUCCAGUGUUCCGCUCCACGUCAGCCAUCCUCCCAACGUCCCACAGGAGAUGGCCCUGAGCACCAGUUGUACCGUGGCCGACCACGCUCCAUCGCCGGUGUGCGGUCUUGCUGGCAGACUAUACUGCUCAUCACCCUGCACCACUACGUGAUCCCAACGUCUGCUUUCGAUUGCGGCCUACGAGUCGGAAGGGCAUCAGUGUACUGCUCCUUGCCAUCCUCCCAACGUCCCACAGGAGAUCGCCUUGAGCACCACUCGCACCGUGGCAGACCGUGCUUGUUACAUUGCAUUCCCUCACCGAUGGCGUCCUCCAGGCAGACGGGUCU